rnacentral:rRNA from 1 species
UACGUAGGGGGCAAGCGUUGUCCGGAAUCAUUGGGCGUAAAGAGCGUGUAGGCGGUCCGGUCAGUCGGUUGUGAAAGUCAAGGGCUCCAACCCUUGAAUGCCGGCCGAUACUGCCGGGCUAGAGUCCGGAAGAGGUGAGUGGAAUUCCUGGUGUAGCGGUGAAAUGCGCAGAUAUCAGGAGGAACACCGAUGGCGAAGGCAGCUCACUGGAACGGUACUGACGCUGAGACGCGAAAGCGUGGGGAGCAAACAGG